AAGAAAUGUGAAAAUAUUCAAAGUCAAAGUCAGCUUUAUUGUCAGUUUUUUGCCAUAUGUGCAUCGCAUACAGAAAUCUGAAAUUACAAGACUCUAAGGCCCCACGGUGCAAAGUGAACAUAGUAG